GCCCUCGUAGUUCAACGGAUAGAACGGAAGUUUCCUAAACUUUAAAUACAGGUUCGAUUCCUGUCGGGGGUA
rnacentral:tRNA from 1 species